GUGUGUCUCUCUCCCGUUCACCCGUCCGUAUCCUUCCCGGAUCACUCUCUCCACUCUCCGCUCCCCACCGCGCGAGAGAUAUUUUCGCGCGCCAUGUCGCUGCCCGCCCUCGCCGCCGGCCGCGCCGCCUCCGUGCGGCCGCCGCGCGCCUCGGCGGCCUCGGGGGAGGCGGCUGCUGCUGCGGCGGCGGAUCAGCCGGCGGGGCGGAGGCCGGUGAAGGUGAUACUGCCGAAGAAGAAGCCGCAGAAGUGGUCGACGGGGAUGGCGCCCGGGGAGUACGGCGGCGGGCCGGCGACGCCCAAGCCGCGCAAGUACUGGAUGGGGAAGGAGGACCGCGACCCCGUGGGCAACACCGACGACUUCAUCUGGAACAAGGACUUCCUCCCACACAUGGAGCGCGUCAUCGCCAACGGCGGCGCAGACACGCCCCCCACCAUCACCCGCCUCACCCCGGUGGAUGAGGACUCGGAAUCAGGGUUCCUAAGCAUCAACCGCGCAAUGAGCCUCGACAGUGUGGAUGUUGAUCUGAGCAAGGAGCUUCAGGCGCCAACCAGGCCAAUCUUGAAAACCCAGGUUGAGGCUGCCUGGAGGGGGCGGGCCAUUGGAGCUGAGGCUGUCAACGGUGUUGCGUCUCCUAGAUGGAGGCUAGUUCCGACUCGCCGGGAACAAGCAAAGUGGGACCGAGCAGCUAAGGCAGCAACUGGUGGCAGUGAUGUCAUACUAAGGGAAUCAAAGUCAAGAGGGCAGCAAGGAGACCCUGAGGUAUUGGCAGCUAAAUCAAGGGAGCAAUAUCUAGAGUUGAAACAAAGAUUGCAGUUGUUUACUUUAGGCAUUGGUGGCAUUGGUUUGGUCUCCGCCUAUUUUUCCUACUCUCCUGAGAUUGCUGCAAGCUUUGGUGCAGGGCUGAUUGGAUCUGUCCUGUAUCUCCGCAUGCUUGGGACCAGUGUGGAUUCCUUAGCUGGUGGAACUGGAGAAACUGUGAAGAGUGCUGCUGCCCAACCAAGACUGCUUAUUCCAGUGGCACUUGUGAUGAUGUAUAACCGAUGGAAUGAGAUUUUAGUUCCAGAUUAUGGCUUCAUGCACCUGGAAUUGAUACCCAUGCUUGUUGGGUUUUUCACCUACAAGAUUGCAACAUUUGCUCAGGCAAUUCAAGAAUCUAUACCUGCAGUUGGGAAUCGUGAAUCUUGAACAUAGUUCUGGUGAAUAGAAUUAAAGGUAGUUGCCCUGAGGAAGAUAGGUCACGGAGAUACUGAGGCCAAGGUUUUAUAAGAAUCUGAUCUGGGGAUGUUACCAAGAUAAGAUGCACACUCAGUCAUUGAGGAGCGAGUAUACCAUCUGAAUCUUGAUCCAAAUUUUAUUAUAGCUGCACAAUAGAAAGUUUGUACAUAGGAAUUCUCCAUGACAUCUGUUACACUCUCAUUUGUUCAAAAAGAUGAUUGGCAAGAGGUCAAGUACACACACCUACCCCGUACAUUCCAUUUAUUGCACGCCUACGGACUACAGCAACUCUCAGCAUUGUCACAGGUACCACAUGAACACAUGAUCUAUUGAAUGACUUAUGGAGUAAUUAACUGUGAAUGGUGCAGAGCCAAAACAUGGGCAACCAAAAGAACUCAAGAAGACGAAGAUUUCAAUAAAUCACGGCUCAAUCUGCCACUCUGAUUCAUCAUCUCAUUGCCUCGAGGCCUGCUGCUGCUGCUAGUAGUAGUAGUACAUUCAUUUGAACUGCCUACCAAUUUUGAAAGCACCCAAAUUUCCAAAUUUCCUUUUCUUAUCUCUUUCGUUGCUGGCCUCAUCCAUUUGGCCACCAAAAGAAUCCUAAAAUGGUAUCUC